UACGUAGGGAGCGAGCGUUGUCCGGAUUCAUUGGGCGUAAAGAGCUCGUCGGCGGCUUGGUAAGUCGGAUGUGAAACCUCCAGGCUCAACCUGGAGUCGCCAUCCGAUACUGCCAUGGCUAGAGUCCGGUAGGGGCCCACGGAAUUCCUGGUGUAGCGGUGAAAUGCGCAGAUAUCAGGAGGAACACCGGUGGCGAAGGCGGUUCUCUGGGCCUUACCUGACGCUGAGGAGCGAAAGCGUGGGGAGCAAACAGG
rnacentral:rRNA from 1 species